GGGCUGGGGCUCAGCGGUAGAGCACUGGCCCAGCAUGGCUGAGGUACUGGGUUUAAUCCUCAGCACCACA
rnacentral:tRNA from 1 species